UCUUAAGCCGGAUCCAUUAUGGAAAAACUUG
rnacentral:piRNA from 1 species